rnacentral:rRNA from 1 species
UACGUAGGGGGCAAGCGUUGUCCGGAAUUAUUGGGCGUAAAGAGCGCGUAGGCGGUCCGAUAAGUCGGCUGUGAAAGUCAGGGGCUCAACCCUUGGAAGCCGGCCGAUACUGUCGGACUAGAGUCCGGAAGAGGCAAGUGGAAUUCCCGGUGUAGCGGUGAAAUGCGCAGAUAUCAGGAGGAACACCAAUGGCGAAGGCAGCUUGCUGGGACGGUACUGACGCUGAGACGCGAAAGCGUGGGGAGCGAACAGG